UACGUAGGGUGCAAGCGUUGUCCGGAAUUAUUGGGCGUAAAGAGCUCGUAGGCGGUCUGUCGCGUCUGCUGUGAAAACUCAGGGCUUAACCCUGAGCUUGCAGUGGGUACGGGCAGACUAGAGUGCGGUAGGGGAGACUGGAAUUCCUGGUGUAGCGGUGAAAUGCGCAGAUAUCAGGAGGAACACCGGUGGCGAAGGCGGCCCCCUGGGCCGCUCCUGACGCUGAGACGCGAAGGCCAGGGUAGCGAACGGG
rnacentral:rRNA from 1 species